GGCGCAGCUGCAGGGCUACUGGCGAGGGGUGGUUCCUCUGGUGCACGUGCGCGGUUGACCACCUUAAACGUGUUUCCUUAAAGAAACCGGUUCCAGAACCUUUCCUUCCCUAAAGUAAGAGGACCCUGGACACCCUCUUGCAUGAGGGAGCAUGAGAGCACCAAUCUACUUCAGAGAAGAUGAUGGGCCUCAAAGAAUCUCCAAAUGGAUUUUGCUUUCUUUGUGGCAAAAUGUGUUUUCGAAGGGAUGAGUUGUGCAUGAAAGCUUUUUCACAGUGAUCUUUCGUUUACCAACUGACUUCAGGUCGACGUUUGGACCAAAUUCAAAAUUCUUAUGGCUUUUAUCUACAGGUUCUUCUCCUUGCUGCAACACGGAGAUCAUUUUUGGUUUGGUAAAUGGAAAUCCUGAUCACAAACAAAAUUAACAAUAAAAAAGGCUUAUAGUUUUGUUUUAACAUGAACAAGCAUUGCAUAUUUGUGUGGGAAGCUCAGGAGAUGGCAUAGCACACUUUUAUAGGGUACUUAGGCUGUUGCCUGUCAUCUGAUGGGAUGUGUUGAGCAGAGGCCAAGUAGCUCAUAGGAGGUGACUGGCAGAACUAACUGUACAUUAUGGAAGCACAAUAAGCAGGCAGUUCUAGAAAAGGAACAUUGGGUAUACAGGCAGAAUGAAAACUUCUAAGCAGGUAUCUGUGAAAAAGAUUAGGUGUCAAGUAGCCUGUUUCAGCAGGAAAACACAAUUUUAUCCCUUUUCAAAGAUAAAGUAUACAGCAUUGACCUGACUGCAAAAAGGAAGUGGGAGAGGCAAAAGAUAGGUAGAGAAGGAGGGUUGAGGGACGUCUGCUUACAGGCAGCACAGAAUAAAUAUAAUAAGAAAAUGCAGUUUCAACCCUGAAAAGGAUUUCUACUGUCAAACUACGGACAGUAUCAGCCCCCUUUGUUCUCUUAUUUUGGGCACUUAAACACCUGAAAGUGGCAAACAGUUCCAGCAUUUAUAGAGAUCUGAUCUGUACAGACCUACAGCAAAACCCAGUUAGGGUGUUUUAAUAACCACAGCUUUCAUUCAGGGAAGGCGAUGCUAAGGUCUCAUUCUGAAUCUAUGCCCACAGGGAACG